CAGCAGCCGCGGUAAUACGUAGGUGGCAAGCGUUGUCCGGAAUUAUUGGGCGUAAAGGGCUCGCAGGCGGUUUCUUAAGUCUGAUGUGAAAGCCCCCGGCUCAACCGGGGAGGGUCAUUGGAAACUGGGAAACUUGAGUGCAGAAGAGGAGAGUGGAAUUCCACGUGUAGCGGUGAAAUGCGUAGAGAUGUGGAGGAACACCGGUGGCGAAGGCGACUCUCUGGUCUGUAACUGACGCUGAGGAGCGAAAGCGUGGGGAGCGAACAGGAUUAGAUACCCCCGUAGUCCCUGUCUCUUAUAA
rnacentral:rRNA from 1 species